rfam:Myotis lucifugus cont2.1290, whole genome shotgun sequence.
GAGACACCCUUAUGGGGCAGGACUUGCUUCAGUGGAGCUUUGGUGCUCAUUGUCUGCCCCUUGAGUGUGUCUCU